rnacentral:tRNA from 1 species
UCCCUGGCAGUCCAGUGGUUAAGACUCUGCACUCCCAAUGCAGGGGACACAGGUUCAAACCCUGGUCAGGGAA